GUCAACCAAUUGGAUUGUUUCAUUCAAGUGAGUACAAAUCUGCCCUGGAAUAGUUUAUUGUAGCUGAGUUCAUCGUCCCCGAACAAGGUCAGAAUAUUGAAGACAUUUUUAAGAACACAGAAUUCUGAACAUUCAUUCUCAUCAUGUUCCCCAUCCCCCAACAUUUGUAUUGUGCGUAUCUGAACUACUUGGGGACUUCUAUAAGAAGUCAUAGCCUGCUCCAUCUUGCUUUGCAUUCUGGGGACAGCUGAAAAUAGAGAUGGUGCCUACCGAAGAGAAAACUGGUGAAAAUGCCAUGUGGAUGUUACAUUGUAGGCAAUAAAGAAUACUAUUGAUUGACAGCAAGCAGAGAUCUUG